rnacentral:rRNA from 1 species
GACGAACGCUGGCGGCGUGCCUAACACAUGCAAGUCGAACGGAACUGUUUUGAAAGAUUUCUUCGGAAUGAAUUUGAUUUCGUUUAGUGGCGGACGGGUGAGUAACGCGUGAGUAACCUGCCUUCAAGAGGGGAAUAACAUUCUGAAAAGAAUGCUAAUACCGCAUGACAUAUCGGAACCACAUGGUUUUGAUAUCAAAGGUUUUAUCGCUUGAAGAUGGACUCGCGUCCGUUUAGUUAGUUGGUGAGGUAACGGCCCACCAAGACCGCGAUCGGUAGCCGGACUGAGAGGUCGAGCGGCAACAUUGGGACGGAGACACGGCCCAGACUCCUACGGGAGGCAGCAGUGGGGGAUAUUGCGAAAGGGGGGCAACCCUGACGCAGCAACGCCGCGUGAAGGAUGAAGGUUUUCGGAUUGUAAACUUCUUUUAUUAAGGACGAAAAAUGACGGUACUUAAUGAAUAAGCUCCGGCUAACUACGUG